rnacentral:lncRNA from 1 species
UAAAGGCAAAGAAUGGAAAUCUUCAUUCCUAUUGGUCAAAAGCUAUGUCCAAUGGGCUUCAAGGAGGCUACCCGAGGCCUUAUUAGGGAUUAGGAUUUUUCUUUUAAGGUCAUUUAAGUUGUGGAGGCUAGGAUCAGUAAGUUUAGGUUUUUGGAUACAGAUUGGAUGUAAAAUUUGUGUGAUUUGGAGUUUUUAUGAAGGAUUUAUUGGAACUCAAAGUUAAGGUAUUAAUUUUA